rnacentral:misc_RNA from 1 species
CCACCUGAUAAAUUCACUAAUUUGUAUUGUUUAUCAGAACAGCAAAUGUGCCUUACAUAAUCCAAAAACAUAGUAAUGCCGAUUGCUAUCAUUCAUCUCAAAUCGAAUCCACAGCCAAAAGAGAAUGAUUAGCAUAUCCUAAAUUAACAUACUCAAAUACUUUUUGUUCUGACUUUUUCUUUCUCGAUGUUUGCAAUAAAAAAAUAAAAAUAAAAAACUAUUGGUACCAUUCUCAUUGAGGCUUACAACUGAUAAUAGUCUACAAAAUAUGCAAGUAUACCCAAUUUCUCCCAUCUUCACUAACCCACCAUGGCCUGCGUUACAAAGUUAAGACACAGCCCAGGGUGAUUUCGCUGUUUUGUUAUGAAUAUUUCACAAUUGGGCUUAAAUGUUUCAAAUGCUGCAUUUUUUUUUCUCUGAACUUAAGGGAUACCAUUUCAGUCAAUGGAAAUGCCUGUGUCAGCUGCAUAUGAAGGUGUCAUAUGAUCUCGGUAAGAUUCAUGAAUUUAAAAAAAAAAAAUUCAUAGAAUACAACAUCCAAUUUAUUGCAGUGAAUUUCCUUUUUGAUGCUUGAUGCUAUAGCGAUUCCUCACUGUAUGGCAAUUUGCAAGCAGCAGCACUAUCUUUUGACUUGUAUUGGCCAAGCAUUUCAGCAACAGUUCUGCAUCGACACUGGUUUCCAGGGCGAAUCACAUUCCCGUAAACAGCCAUUUCAAUUAUGUCAAGCUCCUUGUCUGCAAGUUUUGAACACAUGAUGUUCUGAUCAUCAGUCGAGGUGUCAGAAGGGCAAAGAUACAAACACAUAGCACACAGCAAGAUCACCAUUCAAUUUGAAAGAAUGAUGUUGCAGGUAAGAUGAGAGCUGCCCUUUUGGGCAGAAGCAGCAAGAGGCUGCAGGCCAAACGUGAAUACUUGACAGGGCCGGAAAAAGCCUUCAGUUGAGACAUCCUACCAACACUAUCGUGUUCAACCUUUCAUACUUCUGCAAUUGCUUGUUUCUAUUAAGACAAAUACCCCAAGACACACUGGUAGUCUGGCACACCUGGUGUAUCUCAAAGGUCGAAAGUGACACAAGAACCUUUGAAUACAACUCAAUUUUAAAAAAUGCAGAAAUUCAUUUUUAGCAGUGCGCACCAUAAAUUCACUCUUUGAAUUAGGGGUACAAUCACUUUAUACGUAUGCAUAGAAUUUAUCAGAAUAAGAAAAAGGAAAGUUCUCAUGACAAAUAUGUAGCCAACUAGCUAUUUCUCUAAUGAUUUGGACAGAACAUAAAUGACAAAAUGAGGUAAACAGUCUCAAGCAUUUAUAUUUCGACAGAACAUAAAGGACAAAAUAAUAUGAACAGUCUCAAGCUUUUAUAGCUUCCAAGUAUCUCGUAAAUGCAUCUGAUGAUCACCCUAACAGACUAAAAAUAAUGCUGGAUAAGGGAAGAAGAUAAGAAGUAGCGCCAUUCUUUCUGAUUCUCACAUGAUGAUUGAAAGGUGAAAGCAAUACAACAGAAAAAUUCAACAGAAUUUUAAUAGUUAUACUCUUGAUGCGACAUAUCAUUGGCUACAUUUGGGUUUUAACAUAAUGCAUCAGCAGCCAUAUGUCAAAUUUGACUGUAACAUUAGAAUUUUCAUAUUUGAAAAUUGAUAUAGAGACAAACAACUCAUUAUCUACUUCAUAAAUUCUACUUCAACUUUUCAUCCAUUUCACUGUCUAUAUAAAGGAAUACUUUUCAUCUAUUUUAGGCUGCAAACGGAGCCAGAAAAUAUUCAGUAUUACCAAUUAUGCAAUGUACUUGAUGCACUAGAUAGAAAAUUUCUUCUGUUUCAAACUUAAGGAGAAUAAUAGAAUGCUAAGAAGACAGAUAAUAGAAGGAACAAAGAACUCCCGGACAAAUUAUGAACUGAAAAUUUUCUCAAACUAAGGACUGUUGCUUGAACUGUUAAACACGUGCCAGAAAUGAACAGGGUUCUACUUAAAACAAUAAGAUGUGCAUGUCUAUCCAAAUUACUGAAAAAAAAUAUAAAAGGAACUUUAAAAGCAGAAAGUCCUCCAGCCUGGCUAAAGUAAUAAGACCUUAGCCCUGAGCCUAUUUAAUAAAGAUGACAAACCUGAUCAUCAGGAGGAUGCUGAUUGCCUGCAAGUUCUAUCAUGAUCAGGUUUAUCAUCUUCAUUGAACAGAAACAAAGAUCUAUUUCUUAUCCAAAAUUACAUGAAACUUAUUGAACAUCUAAAAGCAUUCUAAAAUAAGAUGACUGAAAUUUAGAUCCACAGAACUGAGAAUGUUUAGAGGGGCAUCCUGAAAGGAUCUAGAAACAAACGAACAGUUAAUUAUGAGUUUUUCCUAGACUAUUUACUUUGAAUGAGUAAAUCAACUGCAUAAAAAUAAAGUAAAAGGAAUAUGUGUGUUGAAAUAGGGAAUACCCAAAAAUUUCAACAAGUACUAGCAAAAGAUUUGAAGUUGACUUACUGUGUAAAGGAUCAUAGAAUGAGACAUAUAAAAGCUGAAAGAUUUGGUUAGAAGAUCCCCAAGAAAACAAAGAAUACAGUUUAUUUUAUCCAGUAAUGGACCUUCCAUGACCUAUCCCUCUACCAGUUCCUCCAUGAAGGCACUAGUUCUUCCAAUUAACAAGAGACCGAGAGAGCAAUUCUAAUCUAAGACACAUAAAAAUGGGGGUGAGAACUAGAAUUUUAGUAUACGUACAAGAUACAGUACUGCCCCAACGUGUGAGCGCCUUAAAGUGAAAUGGUGAUGCAGUCAAGGAAUACUAGAUGUAAAAAUUAUUUUUAUUUACUUUUAAUUGUAAAAUUAAGAUCUUUAGUCAGAUUUUAUAUUAUAAUUAGAAAGUUUAGGCUUUAUUAUUUAGAAAAUUUAAUUAGGAAGUGAUAUUUUAAUUAUUCAGGAAUUCUAUUGUCUAGAGUUUCCUAGGUAGUGUUGAUUUUAUAUUCCUACUUAGAUUGGUUUAGUGUUUUUCUUCUUUUGGAAUUCAUAUUUACAGUAGUUGUAGGAUUUGUUGUUAGUUUACGAAAAAGUAUUUUCCUAGACAGCUUAUUGUGAUUAUUAUUGACAAUUGAGACUUAAUGUUUGGGAUUAAGGUUUAGUUGUUAUUUGUCUGUUUAGCGUAAUAGUUAAUGAAAGUUGCCCAAAAUGGAGUCAACUGGAUGACAAAUGAUUCAUUUAGCUGAUUCUAGUUAGUUUUAAGUUAAAUUUUGUUGGUGAACAGAAAUAAAAAGUAAACGAUUCCUAUCAAUAGAAUGUUUUAACUUGAGAAAGAGAAGAUGGUGCUUAUCCAUAUAUGACCUCAAUUAGUUUGAGAUUAAGGUUUAGUUG